rnacentral:rRNA from 1 species
ACGGGUGAGUAACACGUAGGUAACCUGCCUAUGAGACUGGGAUAACUAUCGGAAACGAUAGCUAAGACCGGAUAACUGGUUUUCUCGCAUGAGAGAAUCAUGAAACACGGAGCAAUCUGUGGCUUAUAGAUGGGCCUGCGGCGCAUUAGCUAGUUGGUAGGGUAAUGGCCUACCAAGGCGACGAUGCGUAGCCGACCUGAGAGGGUGACCGGCCACACUGGGACUGAGACACGGCCCAGACUCCUACGGGAGGCAGCAGUAGGGAAUCUUCCGCAAUGGACGCAAGUCUGACGGAGCAACGCCGCGUGAGUGAUGAAGGUUUUCGGAUCGUAAAGCUCUGUUGCCCUAGACGAACAGCAUGAGGAGUAACUGCCUUAUGUGUGACGGUAUAGGAGAAGAAAGCCCCGGCUAACUACGUGCCAGCAGCCGCGGUAAUACGUAGGGGGCAAGCGUUGUCCGGAAUUAUUGGGCGUAAAGCGCGCGCAGGCGGUUAAUUAAGUUGGGUGUUUAAGCCCGGGGCUCAACCCCGGUUCGCAUCCAAAACUGGUUGACUUGAGUGUAGGAGAGGAAAGUGGAAUUCCACGUGUAGC